rnacentral:lncRNA from 1 species
AAUAUCUGACAAAUGGACUUUGGGGUCUCUCAUUAGUUGCUUAUAUGAAUCAGCAGCCAAGGUUUUUCUCAUCUGUAAGAAAUGGACAUUCCCACGUACCUCGCCGCUCUUGUACUAUGGUUUGAUGACCUAUGAUGUAAGACAGUGCACAGCAUGGGGCCCACUCUGCUAAGGACUUCCCAUAAAUGAGGAUUGAGAAGCACAAGCGUCACUCCGUGAGAGGUGGGUUUAUGUGCUCACAAUGAGUGACUCAGUGCCAGGCUUUGACAGGACAGUCAGAGCUAAAAUUCUGUUUCUGCUAGAUGAUUAAUACAGACAGGUCACUGGGUAGAAACCCAGGCCGGGUUAGGGUCAGAGCAGAGGGGAGUGGGAAGCCUCCUUUCUGGAGUGUCAAGUCUCAGUGCUGACCAUGGGACUUGCAUCUGCUCUUCUGGACUAUGGUUUCACGUGUUCUUGCAUCAGUUUCUGGGCAACAAAACAACUCUCAUUUCCUGUUAUUUCCACAGCAGAGUAAACAGGCUAAACUUCGGUCAAUCUCAGAAACAAGAGUUUC